UCAGAAUUGGAUUCAGUCUAAACCUUUGGAUGACAUGACUGAAGAAAUUGACGGGGCUGAAGAAAUUGAUGAAGAAUUCAUAAACAUAGGAAAGGAGAUGGAAGCUGCAUUUGAGAAUUUGAAUAAUGACUCUAUGAGUCUUGAAGCUCAAUGAUGGAAGCACUUUGGGUUAUACGAACAAGGUGGUCUCGUGAAGAUGUUCAUUAAUUCAUACCUUCCCAA